rnacentral:rRNA from 1 species
UACGGGGGGAGCAAGCGUUGUUCGGAAUUACUGGGCGUAAAGCGCACGUAGGCGGCUUUGUAAGUUAGAGGUGAAAGCCCAGGGCUCAACCCUGGAAUUGCCUUUAAGACUGCAUCGCUAGAAUUGUGGAGAGGUAAGUGGAAUUCCGAGUGUAGAGGUGAAAUUCGUAGAUAUUCGGAAGAACACCAGUGGCGAAGGCGACUUACUGGACACAUAUUGACGCUGAGGUGCGAAAGCGUGGGGAGCAAACAGG